rnacentral:misc_RNA from 1 species
GGGUGGGAAUCUGGAAGUUCGAAUCUGCAUGUAGCAAAAGGAAAAAAAAAUUAGUAUACAAUAGAAGGAUUUGUCCCAUUAGCAUAAUCAGCUGGAGUUGAAAACAAUUUGCUUUCAGUGCUGAACAGUGGAUUUGUUAGUUUACUAUAGUUGCAUCCUUUGGCAGACUGCCCUGCUCUGUGUGGCUGUGCCCAUAGAAUGGGGAGCAACAGCUAAUUUUUCAAGUAUAUUCUUUGUCAGUUUCAGGCCAAAAAAGUUAUUCAUAAAGGCUCAAGGCCCAGUAGAUAAUCAUUCCUAAUUCAAUUGAAUUCUGACCAUUUGGAAAUA